GGAGAGAUGGCUGAGUGGUCUAAAGCGGCCGCCUCGAAAGCGGUUGUCUCGUUGAAUAACGGGACCGUGGGUUCGAAUCCCACUCUCUCCA
rnacentral:tRNA from 1 species